AAGAUAACCUGUAAAAGUUUCCAGGGAAACAGAGCUUGCCAUCCUCAGCUCCUAUUUGCCUCCAUGUCACUAAUUUCAGGUGGCUCUCCAGCAUUACCUGGUUCUUAGGAGGGCUGUGCUGCUUGUCAGCAGCUGACAGCUCUGCUGCUAUUGGCCACCUUCCUCUGGCCUGGUAUCCAGCUACACACAGAACCAGGAGUGUAAAGGACCUGGCAUGAGAUGAUAGUCCGUUUCUCUUCUCUGAUUUCCUUGACUGUUCACUUCCCUUUUCAUAAGAAAGCAGGUUCCAGCAAACCCUACUUCUAAGACACAGUCCCUUGAGCUUCACUUUUAUUUCUAAAUAAAGCCUGUUUCUCCUCCCAGCACUCAGACAUGCACAGUAGGCUGAGCUGAGCGCCAAAUGAGAGUUCUGUGUCCUGUGGUUCAGAAAUGUCAUGCUCAUGUGAAUUAUGACCACAGGUCAUUUUCGAAGGCAUGGUGGUGAAUGUAAGUUAGGGUCUCACACGCUUUCUUCCCUUUAUUGCUUCCAAAAUAGACACCCCCCCCCCGCUAUGGUCCCUGUCCAGUCACUGUCUGGAGUCCAUACUUCAUCUGGCCACGGUCUGUCCACUGGCUUGGUCCUGUCUAUCUGCCAUGUGCUAGCCAGAAGCAUCUUUCCUUUGCUCAGCUUUGAUCUUGGGACCAAGCCCAGUGUUGCUGCUCCAGCCUCAUUUGGCUGUCCUGAUGCAGCGAUUAAACACGAGGAGCUCACCACCAUGAAAUUUCACCUGCUAAUGUUGAUGGGGGUGAUCAACAACAUGUGAUGAGAUUCCCAGAUUUACAAGUCACAGACCACCUGGGAUGAGGGGACCAUUCUGCUUUAUGAGUUGUAGACACAGCAGAGGAGAAAUAUGUAUUAAAAAAUUAUAAGAAAAACUUUAGAAGUCAACUGUGGUGGUAGAACUUUGCCUAGUUUGAAUUUAUUGACGGUUGAUCAUUGUGUUUCCCAGCUUCUCAGUGAAGGGAUGGUUUUCCCUUUGUGAUGGUGAUUUGUUCUGUUGCUUGCUGUUCAGUCCCAAUUUAACUCCUCAGACUUCUGAUGAAUUAGGUAAAUUCAUGGUAGAGAAUUAAGUUAAGAGGAAAGAUCACGGUCAGGAUCAUUUUGGAAGUCCUUGCAGACAUGUCCUAUAUCCAAGUUCCCUCAAUCCCUGCCCUACAGAACUGGCUUGAUAGGACUCAGCUUCUGCCUGGCUUUUGGGGAUGCAUGUUUGUUUUAGGAACAACAAAGCCAUCCAUCUGCAUCCUGACCCAGUGUAGACUGCCUCCUCUUGGUCAGAGAUUAUUCCCUGCAAUGAGACGAACUCAGUCAUGCCAAACACAGCCUGCCAUAUGGAACAGAUUGUAGCUGCUGAACUACUCCACAGAGAGCAGAUGUCAAAUUCUCCGGCUCACCUUGAUCCAGUUUUUCUGGUAUCUGUAAGGACAUUGAACACAGCUGACCACAAGAUCCCAGCAUUGGCCACAGAAUUCAGUUUUAGUUCAUUGGUUAAAGAAAGCUCUUUUUAUUUUUUUAAUAUUCUUUAAUUUUAUUUUUUUAGUAAGCUCUGUUGGGCUAACAUCAUGAUCUGGGAUCAUUGCCCUGUUACUAAAGUUAACAUGUCCAUGAUUAUUGCCUUAAAUUUAAAGUAUUUAAAAGCAUUCUCAUUGUUUUGUGUGUGUGUGAGUUGUCAUCCCAAUGUUAUGAUACCCAUUUCAGUCUUUUAAAAACUACAUGCAUCUGCACAAGUGAUUGUUAAGGUCCACAUUAGCUUAGCAGGAGUGAUGCAGGACCUUUGGGGUCCAGCCACUGACUGUGAUGAGGUUGUUGCUUAAGUGUUGUGGACAGCACUGCAGGCGGACCGCCUCAUUCCUGGCACAGAUCCUCAAGGACACAUGGUGUAUAUGGCAAAGAGCCUGAUGCCUGCAGGCAUGACUAUGAACCCCAAACAAUUGGAGGCAACAAUAAAUCUUGAAUAAUUACCUUUUGCGCUCAAGAGCAUUCCAUUGUUAAGAGAUCCUUGGCUAAAAACAUGGAAAGAGAACUAUAUAUGGAACAAGAAACAUAUUUAUAUAAUGAUUUUAGUAUUACCCACAAAUGUUUUGUGUGUAAAUCAUCCCGUUAAGCCAGGUGUCAUUAUCAUUCUCAAAUCUGUCAUCAUUUGGAAGGAUAGUGAACAGAUGGAUUUUGUCCCUUUCAUUCUGAGACAUGUUCCUUACCUUUCAUUUUUAAACAAACAUUUUCUAGGUGAUGCCCUCUUUUGGAUUUCUGUUAACAAAUUAAAGAUUUGCAGACUUUCAUUAAUAGCUGUUAGGGACAUAGUCAAGGCAUGUCACCAUAAGAAGAAAAGAACCAGCACAAACAUAGCAGAAACACAUGAAGUUUCUGGCUAUUUCUUCUGGCUGGAGGUGUUAGUCUUAGUCUUGACAAAUAAUGUCUUAUACAUAUAAGAACAUCUAAUGAAGUUUCCUACUUUGUCAUGGACACAUUGAAGUCUGGCAUUCAUUGGAAUUUAUGUACAUUUAUGAUAAAGAUAUAAGUCAAAACUAAGGCUUAAGGACUAGGGGCUCACAUUACUUUUCUGAUCAUGAGGCUUGAAGGAUCUAUUUACAACUGUACAACUAAAUUUGGACAAUAAAAAUACAGCAAAUAAUAAUCAUUUCUAUGUCUUGACCCAAAGUUAAUGUGUCAAUAAAUUUAAAUAUAUGCUUCCAGUUUCUAAAAAUAUAUAUAUUAAGUGAAUUAUAAAAUCUGCCAACUUUGUAAAUUAUGUAGAAACACACAUAUGUCUAUAUUAGUGAGUCUUCAUUUAAGAAAUUCAAUCACAUCCCAAAUUCUCGAAGGUAGUACUUGAGAAUUAAAAAAAUCACUCUUCUGUAAGAAUGUAAAAUAGGCGUUGUUCUCUCAAACAUUGGUAAAUACUGUGUUUCAUUCCAUCAUUGGUAACCAAAACCAUCUUUAAUCGUCCUUUGGAAGAAGAAUCUUCUUGAUUGGCUACCCAACAUUUAGAAACUAAAAAUCGCAUUGGGUAUGACUGACAACUCAACAUCAUUUUGAGAUAAUUUUGACUGCGAUGAUUAUUUUCAUUUUGCACUAAAUAUUUUGCAGAGCUAACUAAAAGGGAUUGUGAGGUCACUUAACAGUUUUUUUUUUUCCUCAUGUGCUAAGUUUCCAGUAAAUAUGGACUAAUACUUUAAUAUUUCUAGGGAUCAAACUUAUGAACUUAUGUGUAUUUCAAAUGGAGAGGUGCCAUUGUGUAUAAGGUUUUGAUAUGAUUUUUUAAAUUGAUAAAUUGAAAUUUUAAAGCAAAAGUAGACUUGAAUACC
rnacentral:lncRNA from 1 species